GGCAAACCAGACAUGGCUUUAGAGACCCAGAAAUCAGAGCUUUGUCAUAUAAAUACUGGGUAACCCUAGAUUUGAAUACAGAGUUCUCUUGAAAAGCAGGAGUCUUGAAGACUUAAAAGCAUUCGUUUAGUGUUUCUCAUUUCUUUCUAAGCGCUGGUGAUAACGAUGAAGUUCCAGGUGCUUCUGCUGGCUUUUGCUGUGGUGAUUGUCACUAACAUCCAUUGUCAAGCCCAGCCUCAGCUGGAAGAUUCAGAUAAAUCUCCAGUGGACAAAGGUCACGUCAUGUCCAAACGGCAGAUCAGGACAUGCAACUGCAGGGGGAGAUGGAAUGCUCUGGAGCAGAACUGUCCCUGUGAGCUACAACGGCAAUACAGACUCAGCAAAGAGCAGAUAGCUUUUUGCCAAAAGAAGGGGCUUGGGACCUACAAAAAAUGCCAACAGUUGACUGGUGGAAACAGGAAGGAGAAGAAAGGCAACAAAGGCUUCAGUAUGCCGAUUUAAUUCUUCUCUCUGACUCUCAUAGUCACUACACACACAAACUAUGCGCCCCAACAGUACAUACCUAUUUCACAAUAUCUAAAGUAAGCAGUGUAUACUUAACUACCUUUGUAUCUAUAAUAUUCCAAAACAUUUAAUCUUUACAGUGUUCUAGUUUAAGUUUUUACAAUCUUUUGGAAAAGAUUUACAAAUCGGAAAAAGAUGUCCAAGUGCAUUUAAAAAUAAAACAGUUUGCUAAUAAAAA